CAGUGCAACACUCCAUUAAGCAAACUACAUGUGCUGAAUGUCGUUGUCGCAUUCAAACUUGAUCUUCUGACGAUGGCUGUAUCAAACUCGUGCAUGGAUGCAACUCGAUUCCCGGAAAAUGUCACGGAAAUGACAGACAUAUGUGACGGCUUCUGUGUCAAGUUAAAAAUUCAACAAAAUGAAGCCCAGUGGGUGGCGCGAGGCUGUCUUCCGGCUGAGAGUACCGCAUUGGACACGUGCAGGAGAGAUACAUUCGUGGACGAAGGAGGAGAUUCGGGCGCCAUCUUGACGUAUUCCUGUGUUUGCAAGGGUGAUCGUUGUAACCGGGUCGCUGCGCAAUUCCGGCAUAUUCACGCCGUGAUGAACAUCCUGCUAGCGUUGAUGUGCGCGUGGCGUUUGCGGUCGUAACUUGCAGUAUCGGUGCGUUGCUUGAUUAUUCGUGUUCACCUUACAGUCUCCACACGCGCAGGCACGCGUGCAUAUUGCGCACACGCACACACACACACACACGCAUGCACACACACACGUGCG